rnacentral:rRNA from 1 species
AACAGGAUUAGAUACCCUGGUAGUCCACGCCCUAAACGAUGUCUACUAGUUGUCGGGUCUUAAUUGACUUGGUAACGCAGCUAACGCGUGAAGUAGACCGCCUGGGGAGUACGGUCGCAAGAUUAAAACUCAAAGGAAUUGACGGGGACCCGCACAAGCGGUGGAUGAUGUGGAUUGAUUCGAUGCAACGCGAAAAACCUUACCUACCCUUGACAUGGCUGGAAUCCUUGAGAGAUCAGGGAGUGCUCGAAAGAGAACCAGUACACAGGUGCUGCAUGGCUGUCGUCAGCUCGUGUCGUGAGAUGUUGGGUUAAGUCCCGCAACGAGCGCAACCCUUGUCAUUAGUUGCUACGAAAGGGCACUCUAAUGAGACUGCCGGUGACAAACCGGAGGAAGGUGGGGAUGACGUCAAGUCCUCAUGGCCCUUAUGGGUAGGGCUUCACACGUCAUACAAUGGUACAUACAGAGCGCCGCCAACCCGCGAGGGGGAGCUAAUCGCAGAAAGUGUAUCGUAGUCCGGAUUGUAGUCUGCAACUCGACUGCAUGAAGUUGGAAUCGCUAGUAAUCGCGGAUCAGCAUGUCGCGGUGAAUACGUUCCCGGGUCUUGUACACACCGCCCGUCACACCAUGGGAGCGGGUUUUACCAGAAGUAGGUAGCUUAACCGUAAGGAGGGCGCUUACCACGGUAGGAUUCGUGACUGGGGUGAAGUCGUAACAAGGUAACC